AAUACACAUCGGUCCGGUUUAGUAGUUGGUCCAUCGAUCUAUACCAAAUAUAUCGUGAUCAAUGGCUAGAAAAACCAUCGAUCUCAAUGAGGCAUAUUAGGAAUAUUGUUCCACAUUAGAAGUUGAGUAUAAUUUUAAGUGGUAUAUAUAUAAGUUAUGAGUUUUUCCACUUAUUGUCAAUUAGUUUUGAGUUGAAACCGCACAAUCUAAUAGAUUUGAGUUGUAUAUAAGAGAUAUAGACCUUUCCAUUUAUUGUCAAUUAAUUUUGAGUUAAAAACCAAUAAAACUUAACAUGGUAUCAGAGUCCAAAAACACAUGAUUCACUAAUCCAGUCCGGAAAGUGGUCUGGUCAUCUUUACUAAU
rnacentral:sRNA from 1 species